rnacentral:rRNA from 1 species
AAAUUGAAGAGUUUGAUCAUGGCUCAGAUUGAACGCUGGCGGCAGGCCUAACACAUGCAAGUCGAACGGUAACAGGAAACAGCUUGCUGUUUCGCUGACGAGUGGCGGACGGGUGAGUAAUGUCUGGGAAACUGCCUGAUGGAGGGGGAUAACUACUGGAAACGGUAGCUAAUACCGCAUAACGUCGCAAGACCAAAGAGGGGGACCCUCGGGCCUCUUGCCAUCGGAUGUGCCCAGAUGGGAUUAGCUUGUUGGUGGGGUAACGGCUCACCAAGGCGACGAUCCCUAGCUGGUCUGAGAGGAUGACCAGCCACACUGGAACUGAGACACGGUCCAGACUCCUACGGAGGCAGCAGUGGGGAAUAUUGCACAAUGGGCGCAAGCCUGAUGCAGCCAUGCCGCGUGUAUGAAGAAGGCCUUCGGGUUGUAAAGUACUUUCAGCGGGGAGGAAGGGAGUAAAGUUAAUACCUUUGCUCAUUGACGUUACCCGCAGAAGAAGCACCGGCUAACUCCGUGCCAGCAGCCGCGGUAAUACGGAGGGUGCAAGCGUUAAUCGGAAUUACUGGGCGUAAAGCGCACGCAGGCGGUUUGUUAAGUCAGAUGUGAAAUCCCCGGGCUCAACCGAACUGCAUCUGAUACUGGCAAGCUUGAGUCUCGUAGAGGGGGUAGAAUUCCGGUGUAGCGGUGAAAUGCGUAGAGAUCUGGAGGAAUACCGGUGGCGAAGGCGGCCCCGGACGAAGACUGACGCUCAGGUGCGAAAGCGUGGGGAGCAAACAGGAUUAGAUACCACGGUAGUCCACGCCGUAAACGAUGUCGACUUGGAGGUUGUGCCCUUGAGGCGUGGCUUCCGGAGCUAACGCGUUAAGUCGACCGCACGGGAGUACGGCCGCAAGGUUAAAACUCAAAUGAAUUGACGGGGCCCGCACAAGCGGUGGAGCAUGUGGUUUAAUUCGAUGCAACGCGAAGAACCUUACGGUCUUGACAUCCACGGAAGUUUUCAGAGAUGAGAAUGUGCCUUCGGGAACCGUGAGACAGGUGCUGCAUGGCUGUCGUCAGCUCGUGUUGUGAAAUGUUGGGUUAAGUCCCGCAACGAGCGCAACCCUUAUCCUUUGUUGCCAGCGGUCCGGCCGGGAACUCAAAGGAGACUGCCAGUGAUAAACUGGAGGAAGGUGGGGAUGACGUCAAGUCAUCAUGGCCCUUACGACCAGGGCUACACACGUGCUACAAUGGCGCAUACAAAGAGAAGCGACCUCGCGAGAGCAAGCGGACCUCAUAAAGUGCGUCGUAGUCCGGAUUGGAGUCUGCAACUCGACUCCAUGAAGUCGGAAUCGCUAGUAAUCGUGGAUCAGAAUGCCACGGUGAAUACGUUCCCGGGCCUUGUACACACCGCCCGUCACACCAUGGGAGUGGGUUGCAAAAGAAGUAGGUAGCUUAACCUUCGGGAGGGCGCUUACCACUUUGUGAUUCAUGACUGGGGUGAAGUCGUAACAAGGUAACCGUAGGGGAACCUGCGGUUGGAUCACCUCCUUACCUUAAAGAAGC